AGCAGAGUAAGGAUGAUAACGUUAAGUGUCCGAAGCACGGGGAGUUGGUUUCGGAACGAAAAGACAUCUUGCGAUUGUCAUCUUGCAUCCCGCUGUU
rnacentral:ncRNA from 2 species